GAUGAACGCUGGCGGCGUGCCUAAUACAUGCAAGUCGAGCGAACGGACGAGAAGCUUGCCUCUCUGAUGUUAGCGGCGGACGGGUGAGUAACACGUGGAUAACCUACCUAUAAGACUGGGAUAACUUCGGGAAACCGGAGCUAAUACCGGAUAAUAUUUUGAACCGCAUGGUUCAAAAGUGAAAGACGGUCUUGCUGUCACUUAUAGAUGGAUCCGCGCUGCAUUAGCUAGUUGGUAAGGUAACGGCUUACCAAGGCAACGAUGCAUAGCCGACCUGAGAGGGUGAUCGGCCACACUGGAACUGAGACACGGUCCAGACUCCUACGGGAGGCAGCAGUAGGGAAUCUUCCGCAAUGGGCGAAAGCCUGACGGAGCAACGCCGCGUGAGUGAUGAAGGUCUUCGGAUCGUAAAACUCUGUUAUUAGGGAAGAACAUACGUGUAAGUAACUGUGCACAUCUUGACGGUACCUAAUCAGAAAGCCACGGCUAACUACGUG
rnacentral:rRNA from 1 species